GAGAUAGGUAGAAAAGGUAGAUACGUGGAAUUAAUAAAAUAUAAUAAUAAUAUUAAACCUAAUGCCACGGUUGAAAAUAUAUAAUAUUCAUUUACUAAGUAUAUAAUGCCAUAAAAAAAUAUAAGCUCAUUGAGGCUCGAAGAGAUUUAUCAUAAAUUUGGUUUCGUUUAUUUAGGUUGGACCACAGAACAUCAUAAUAAUAACCGU